rnacentral:lncRNA from 1 species
GUCCGCUCUGCAGGCCGCGGGACGGAGGUCUCUCUCCCAGCUUCCCGGGCACCGCGAGGCUGAGGGCCACGGUGUCCUUUUACGUCGUUUGAGGGUAGAGAGGGACGAGGACCGAGCUCAUGUGAUUCUUUCCGCUGUUUUUGGAGGUCGAGCUCGGCGGCGACGGCGCGGGGAUGGCGGACCCGAGGAUGGCACCCGUCACGCGGUGGAUGGAGGCCAGCCCUGGAUGUACUCGUCUGGCAGGUCCUGUCCUUCUGGCCUCUCGGUUCCCACGACACUCAGUCUCAACGACCUGCACCUUCCCGCGCCUGGGCCCGAAACCCCUCCCUGCCACGUCCUCAGCGGGGCUGCUCACCCUCGGAAUCCUUCUGAGCGCCUUAGCGCCGGAUUUCUUCUCUUAAGACUCCAAAGCAGUCUGAGCUCGCCAUGUACGUUUUUUUCU